ACGGGGAGCACCACAACAGGUGGAGCCUGCGGUUUAAUCGGACUCAACGCCGGGAAAACUCACCAGAUAAGACAGCUGAAUGAUAGUCGGGCUGAAGACUCUACUUGACUAGCUGAGAGGAGGUGCAUGGCCGUCGUCAGUUCGUACUGUGAAGCAUCCUGUUAAGUCAGGCAACGAGCGAGACCCACGCCAACAGUUGCCAGCUCGCCUCCGGGAUGGUGGGGACACUGUUGGGACCGCCUCUGCUAAAGAGGAGGAAGGAAUGGGCAACGGUAGGUCAGCAUGCCCCGAAUUAUCUGGGCUACACGCGGGCUACAAUGGGUGGGACAAUGGGUAUCGACACCGAAAGGUGAAGGCAAUCUCCUAAACCCAUCCGUAGUUCGGAUUGUGGGCUGCAACUCGCCCACAUGAAGCUGGAAUCUGUAGUAAUCGUGUCUCAAAAUGGCACGGUGAAUAUGUCCCUGCUCCUU
rnacentral:rRNA from 1 species